rnacentral:rRNA from 1 species
UACGAAGGGGGCUAGCGUUGCUCGGAAUCACUGGGCGUAAAGCGCACGUAGGCGGACUCUUAAGUCAGGGGUGAAAUCCUGGAGCUCAACUCCAGAACUGCCUUUGAUACUGGGAGUCUCGAGUUCGGGAGAGGUGAGUGGAACUGCGAGUGUAGAGGUGAAAUUCGUAGAUAUUCGCAAGAACACCAGUGGCGAAGGCGGCUCACUGGCCCGAUACUGACGCUGAGGUGCGAAAGCCAGGGGAGCGAACGGG